rnacentral:rRNA from 1 species
UGCAAGUCGAGCGAACAGAAGGGAGCUUGCUCCCGGAUGUUAGCGGCGGACGGGUGAGUAACACGUGGGUAACCUGCCUGUAAGACUGGGAUAACUCCGGGAAACCGGAGCUAAUACCGGAUAGUUCCUUGAACCGCAUGGUUCAAGGAUGAAAGACGGUUUCGGCUGUCACUUACAGAUGGACCCGCGGCGCAUUAGCUAGUUGGUGGGGUAAUGGCUCACCAAGGCGACGAUGCGUAGCCGACCUGAGAGGGUGAUCGGCCACACUGGGACUGAGACACGGCCCAGACUCCUACGGGAGGCAGCAGUAGGGAAUCUUCCGCAAUGGACGAAAGUCUGACGGAGCAACGCCGCGUGAGUGAUGAAGGUUUUCGGAUCGUAAAGCUCUGUUGUUAGGGAAGAACAAGUGCGAGAGUAACUGCUCGCACCUUGACGGUACCUAACCAGAAAGCCACGGCUAACUACGUGCCAGCAGCCGCGGUAAUACGUAGGUGGCAAGCGUUGUCCGGAAUUAUUGGGCGUAAAGGGCUCGCAGGCGGUUUCUUAAGUCUGAUGUGAAAGCCCCCGGCUCAACCGGGGAGGGUCAUUGGAAACUGGGAAACUUGAGUGCAGAAGAGGAGAGUGGAAUUCCACGUGUAGCGGUGAAAUGCGUAGAGAUGUGGAGGAACACCAGUGGCGAAGGCGACUCUCUGGUCUGUAACUGACGCUGAGGAGCGAAAGCGUGGGGAGCGAACAGGAUUAGAUACCCUGGUAGUCCACGCCGUAAACGAUGAGUGCUAAGUGUUAGGGGGUUUCCGCCCCUUAGUGCUGCAGCUAACGCAUUAAGCACUCCGCCUGGGGAGUACGGUCGCAAGACUGAAACUCAAAGGAAUUGACGGGGGCCCGCACAAGCGGUGGAGCAUGUGGUUUAAUUCGAAGCAACGCGAAGAACCUUACCAGGUCUUGACAUCCUCUGACAACCCUAGAGAUAGGGCUUUCCCUUCGGGGACAGAGUGACAGGUGGUGCAUGGUUGUCGUCAGCUCGUGUCGUGAGAUGUUGGGUUAAGUCCCGCAACGAGCGCAACCCUUGAUCUUAGUUGCCAGCAUUUAGUUGGGCACUCUAAAGGUGACUGCCGGUGACAAACCGGAGGAA